rnacentral:rRNA from 1 species
ACGCUCGACACCUACGGGAGGCAGCAGUGGGGAAUAUUGCACAAUGGGGGGAACCCUGAUGCAGCGACGCCGCGUGAGGGAAGAAGGUUUUCGGAUUGUAAACCUCUGUCUUUGGUGACGAUAAUGACGGUAGCCAAAGAGGAAGCUACGGCUAACUACGUGCCACAGCCGCGGUAAUCUGAGCGGGCUGGCAAGGC